ensembl:lncRNA
GUUUGGUGACAGUGCAAGUCCAGAAUAGAAACUGCGGAGCCACUUUUAACAAACUGUUCACUGAAAUGAACUAAAAAUAGUCCAGAUUGAACUUGUACAGACUCACCAUGGAUUUUGCACGCUGUCAAGUCCAUAGUUCUGAUAAUUGUGUGUAAUAUUUGGACAUUUUUUGACUGACUGGGACAAAUGCAGCUCAAGACAGCCUCAGGGAAGUCCGGCUGGUGCCAUGUGACUCCUCCGCUGAACCCGAGCCCCGUACGGUAUGUCAGCCGUCAUGUGGAGCCCGCACACCGGUAAGUGACACCGCCUGAGCCCGGUGACGUCCAACGGAGCAGCUCCACGUCGACUUUCCCGGCUCCUGGGGUAUUUCCCGCGUCUUAAAGUCAGACACGAGGGUUAAGGUUUGGAUUAGACUCAAGAAAAGUGCGUGCAAACAGCCUGGUGGACAGGAAACUUCACACGGAGACAUGCGCUCGUUGGUGGGACUAGCGGCCAUAGUGACGGCUGCGAGCGAGUUCCGGCAAGAUGGCGGUCCGGGCAGGCAGUACUCCUUGAGCUGUUGUAUUUGAAUCUCAGAAUAUCAACUUAGACCUCGAUUUUGAACCGCUAAACGGGCAUUUGUUGUUCUCUUAAAUUUUUUAACAACAAAACUCAAUAUUAGACGCCUCUCAAACGAACUUUAAGCACUCUUUGAAGAAGUUAAAGAUGACCCGGGAAAAACCUGAUGCCCAGGCUAAGCUAGCUUCAGCCUCCAAAAGCCCGGUCCCAGCGGCGGCAACGGACCAUGAAUAUGCCAUUGAAGUAGUGGCGCCGUCAACCAAAAGGAAAAUCCCUGUUACACCAACCAAACCAUCCGCAGUACAACCCAGCAAGGUAAUCAUUUCAAACAAAAACGAGCCAGAGCUGACAGCCCUCACCGCAGCUAUUAACAAGCUGACUGACAGAUUUGAUGACUUUGAUGUGAAACUUCGGGAAAACUCCAUUAUACUAGCCAACCUGACCAAGAUAACUGAAAUGAAUGCUGAUGAACUAAAAAACUGUAAAGGCAGACUCUGUGAUCUGGAGAAGUCGGUCCCUGCCCUCGUUAAAGAGAAUGCUGAUUUGAAAGAGCGCGUGUUGGAGAUGGAGCGCUACAAACGGCGCUGGAAUCUGAAAAUACAGGGUUUUAAAGAAAAAAAAUGAUGAGAAUACCCGCAAAGAAACCCUGGAGAUCUUGGCUAAAAUCGCGCCACAACAUGCUUCAUCCCUGAAUACCGUAGUAGACACGGUGCAUCGUCUGGGGAAGAGGGAAGUCGGGAAGCACCGCCAGAUAAUAAUCCAGUUCACCAUGAGGCACUACCGAGACAUCUUCUGGAAGCUCACCAAAGAUUCCAAGGCCUGCAAAGAGUUGGGAAUCUUCUUCAAGCAAGAUUUCUGCAAGUUCGACCGAGAGGCCAGGGCUGCUGUCUGGCCUAAAAUGGAGCAGGCGAGAGCGGCAGGUCAGAACGUUUACUAUCGAGGGCACAUCGGAUACGUUAACGGAGUCCGUGUGCUACCAGGUGAAAAAACCCUUUAGCAGAGGCUACUGGAAAUUUAACUCCUCACUCCUCACUAAUGAAGACUGCUGCUCCUGCUGUGCCCACCUCUACUGCUUCUUCUUGCAAGCUUUACACUCGUCCUAAGUUUCGCAUUGUUCCUUAUGCUGAGGCACGUGCUGCUGCUCCUGAUAUGUACCUCCCUGAUCUUCCUGAUACACCCACCUCUACUGUUAAUCCUCUGAACCCCUAUGAUUGGUAUGCCCCUGCCUGCUCUGUAUACGUGGCACUCCGCUGACUUUUUCCUGGCACUCCACUGAU